GUGGGAUGGGCUGAGAGUGGCUGAGGGGGUGGGAUUAAAGAGCUGAGGUCUAUGGUGAUAGGUGGGAUGGGCUGAGAGUGGCUGAGGGUUGGGAUUAAAGAGCUGAGGUCUAUGGUGAUAGGUGGGAUGGGCUGAGAGUGGCUGAGGGGUGGGAUUAAAGAGCUGAGGUCUAUGGUGAUAGGUGGGAUGGGCUGAGAGAGGCUGAGGGGGUGGGAUUAAAGAGCUGAGGUCUAUGGUGAUAGGUGGGAUGGGCUGAGAGUGGCUGAGGGGUGGGAUUAAAGAGCUGAGGUCUAUGGUGAUAGGUGGGAUGGGCUGAGAGAGGCUGAGAGGUGGGAUUAAAGAGUUUAUGUUCGGUAUUGUAUUAUUGUUAUGUGACUGCUUUAUAUAACAGUACCAUGUAUGUCAAAUGUAUAUAUAUAUGUAGCAGAAAAGCUGGGAAAAAAAUCUAAAAGAUAUUUGUCCUCCGAAAGAGAGGUCGAGGGG
ensembl:lncRNA